UGGGGAAUAUUGGACAAUGGGCGCAAGCCUGAUCCAGCAAUGCCGCGUGAGUGAUGAAGGCCUUAGGGUUGUAAAGCUCUUUCGCACGCGACGAUGAUGACGGUAGCGUGAGAAGAAGCCCCGGCUAACUUCGUGCCAGCAGCCGCGGUAAUACGAAGGGGGCUAGCGUUGUUCGGAAUUACUGGGCGUAAAGGGCGCGUAGGCGGCCUGUUUAGUCAGAAGUGAAAGCCCCGGGCUCAACCCGGGAAUAGCUUUUGAUACUGGCAGGCUUGAGUUCCGGAGAGGAUGGUGGAAUUCCCAGUGUAGAGGUGAAAUUCGUAGAUAUUGGGAAGAACACCGGUGGCGAAGGCGGCCAUCUGGACGGACACUGACGCUGAGGCGCGAAAGCGUGGGGAGCAAACAGGAUUAGAUACCCUGGUAGUCCACGCCCGUAAACGAUGAAUGCUAGACGUCGGGGUGCAUGCACUUCGGUGUCGCCGCUAACGCAUUAAGCAUUCCGCCUGGGGGAGUACGGCCGCAAGGUU
rnacentral:rRNA from 1 species